rnacentral:rRNA from 1 species
ACCAGCGGUAAUAGCACGUGGAAUACAUCAGUUUCCAAUGGAUCACGCUAAGCAACGAUGCGCGUGGUUGGUACACGGAUCACGGAUGGGUGACCAUGUGGGCGAUUGCGUGCUGCUGGCA